rnacentral:rRNA from 1 species
UGCCUCAGUAACGGCGAGUGAAGCGGCAACAGCUCAAAUUUGAAAUCUGGCUCUUUCAGGGUCCGAGUUGUAAUUUGUAGAAGAUGCUUUGGGUGUGGCUCCGGUCUAAGUUCCUUGGAACAGGACGUCAUAGAGGGUGAGAAUCCCGUAUGUGACUGGCCGCCUUCGCCCGUGUAAAGCUCUUUCGACGAGUCGAGUUGUUUGGGAAUGCAGCUCAAAAUGGGUGGUAAAUUUCAUCUAAAGCUAAAUAUUGGCCAGAGACCGAUAGCGCACAAGUAGAGUGAUCGAAAGAUGAAAAGCACUUUGGAAAGAGAGUUAAACAGUACGUGAAAUUGUUGAAAGGGAAGCGCUUGCAACCAGACUUGCGCGCAGUUAAUCAUCUGGUGUUCUCACUGGUGCACUUUUCUGCGUUCAGGCCAGCAUCGGUUCAGGUGGUGGGAUAAAGGCCUUGGGAAUGUAGCUUCUUUCGGGGAGUGUUAUAGCCCUCGGUGCAAUGCCGCCUAUCUGGACCGAGGACCGCGCUUCGGCUAGGAUGCUGGCGUAAUGGUUGUAAGCGACCCGUCUUGAAACACGGACCAAGGAGUCUAACAUCUAUGCGAGUGUUUGGGUGUCAAACCCAUACGCGUAAUGAAAGUGAACGGAGGUGAGAACCCUUAAUGGUGCAUCAUCGACCGAUCCUGAUGUCUUCGGAUGGAUUUGAGUAAGAGCAUAGCUGUUGGGACCCGAAAG